rnacentral:rRNA from 1 species
CCCUUAGAUGUUCUGGGCAGCACGCGCGCUACAAUGGUCUUCGCAAACGGAUGCAUUCUCGAAGGAGAAUGCCAAUCUUGGAAUCUAUGCCUUGGUCGGGACAGUUGCUUGCAAUUUUUCGACUCGAACCAGGAAUUCCUUGUAAUCGUGAUUCAUCACAUCACGAUGAAUACGUCCCUGCCCUUUGUACACACCGCCCGUCGCACCUACCGAUUGAAUGGUUCGGUGAAGAUCUCGGACUUCGAUAUUUAUUCUUUAUUGAGUUUAUAUUGUGGGAAGUUAUCUAAACCUCAUCAUUUAGAGGAAGGUGAAGUCGUAACA